CAGCUUAGUAUAGAUAUGGUAGUACGUGAGAUUGUAAAUUUCAAGGUGAGAUACUUCAGUUGAAA
rnacentral:tRNA from 1 species